rnacentral:rRNA from 1 species
GACGAACGCUGGCGGCGUGCUUAACACAUGCAAGUCGAACGGAAAGGCCCUGCUUUUGUGGGGUGCUCGAGUGGCGAACGGGUGAGUAACACGAGAGUAACCGGCUCUUGACUUUGGGAUAACUUCAGGAAACUGGGGCUAAUACCGGAUAGGAGCUCCUGCUGCAUGGUGGGGGUUGGAAAGUUUCGGCGGUUGGGGAUGGACUCGCGGCUUAUCAGCUUGUUGGUGGGGUAGUGGCGUACCAAGGCUUUGACGGGUAGCCGGCCUGAGAGGGUGACCGGCCACAUUGGGACUGAGAUACGGCCCAGACUCCUACGGGGGGCAGCAGUGGGGAAUAUUGCACAAUGGGCGGAAGCCUGAGGCAGCAACGCCGCGUGCGGGAUGACGGCCUUCGGGGUGUAAACCGCUUUCGCCUGUGACGAAGCGUGAGUGACGGUAAUGGGUAAAGAAGCACCGGCUAACUACGUG